CCUCGGCACGGGCACCGCCUGCAGCCGCGAGUUCCCGGCCCGCCUCGCUCGGCAGAGGCGGCGAGGUGAUGCUUUACCCUGGACUGACAAACAGCAAAGGCAGCAGUACCCAGCACUACCCAACAGCUUGGAAGAGAAACCAAGGAAGGUUUUUGGCAUCUAUCUAAAAAAGAGCGAUGCACAAAGAACACAAAGUGAAAUUUGUCCUGAGAAAUCUGAUCAAAACCUAAUCCUCUCUAACUGUCACCUGAACGGUUGGUUCCUGGUUCACGUUGUCGCUGCAGCAAUGGGUACUCCUGCAGCACAGCUUGCUGGAGGUGUUGUUGGAAGGGUCACUGCGAGUGGACUCAGAAGGAAAUGAUACCUCUUGAAUUUUCGCUAGCACUUCCUUAAACGUUUGGAUGGAAGUGCUCCAAAGAUCACUCAGAUCCUGACCUGGACUAAUGAGCCAUUUAGACCGCAACAGCUCACCGUACAAGGCGAUGAAGGAAUGAUAUGAAUUUCAGGCUGAAGUCUUCAACAACAGGAGGAAGGGCUAAGGUUUUACACGUGCUUUUUGGUUCCACUGUAAGCAGUAAUCUGCAUCCCUUCAGCUGAAUAAAAUCAUUCUAACAAACAGUA